rnacentral:rRNA from 1 species
UACGGGGGGGCAAGCGUUGUUCGGAAUUACUGGGCGUAAAGGCUCGUAGGCGGCCAACUAAGUCGGACGUGAAAUCCCUCGGCUUAACCGGGAACUGCGUCCGAUACUGGAUGGCUUGAGUUCGGGAGAGGGAUGCGGAAUUCCAGGUGUAGCGGUGAAAUGCGUAGAUAUCAGGAGGAACACCAAUUGCGAAGGCAGCUCGCUGGGACGUCACUGACGCUGAGACGCGAAAGCGUGGGGAGCAAACAGG